AGAUUAAGUUAUUAAGGGCGCACGGUGGAUGCCUUGGCACUAGAAGCCGAUGAAGGACGUUACUAACGACGAUAUGCUUUGGGGAGCUGUAAGUAAGCUUUGAUCCAGAGAUUUCCGAAUGGGGAAACCCAGCAUGAGUUAUGUCAUGUUAUCGAUAUGUGAAUACAUAGCAUAUCAGAAGGCACACCCGGAGAACUGAAACAUCUUAGUACCCGGAGGAAGAGAAAGAAAAUUCGAUUCCCUUAGUAGCGGCGAGCGAA
rnacentral:rRNA from 1 species